rnacentral:rRNA from 1 species
ACCUCGAGUGCCAGGUUACAAAUCUGGCUGUCGUGAUGCCUAAAAAGCAUUGCAUAGCAAGGGCCGGGCAAGACCGGUGCCAGCCGCCGCGGUAACACCGGCGGCUCGAGUGGUAACCGUUAUUAUUGGGUCUAAAGGGUCUGUAGCCGGCCGGAUAAGUCUCUUGAGAAAUCUGGCAGCUUAACUGUCAGGCUUUCAGGAGAUACUGUCUGGCUCGAGGCCGGGAGAGGUGAGAGGUACUUCAGGGGUAGGGGUGAAAUCUUGUAAUCCUUGAAGGACCACCAGUGGCGAAGGCGUCUCACCAGAACGGACCUGACGGCAAGGGGACGAAAGCUAGGGGCACGAACCGGAUUAGAUACCCGGGUAGUCCUAGCCGUAAACGAUACUCGCUAGGUGUCGGCCACGGUGCGACCGUUGUCGGUGCCGUAGGGAAGCCGUGAAGCGAGCCACCUGGGAAGUACGGCCGCAAGGCUGAAACUUAAAGGAAUUGGCGGGGGAG